rnacentral:rRNA from 1 species
UACGUAGGGUGCAAGCGUUAAUCGGAAUUACUGGGCGUAAAGCGUGCGCAGGCGGUGAUGUAAGACCGAUGUGAAAUCCCCGGGCUUAACCUGGGAACUGCAUUGGUGACUGCAUUGCUAGAGUAUGGCAGAGGGGGGUGGAAUUCCACGUGUAGCAGUGAAAUGCGUAGAGAUGUGGAGGAACACCGAUGGCGAAGGCAGCCCCCUGGGCCUGCACUGGACGCUCAUGCACGAAAGCGUGGGGAGCAAACAGG